UUUUAAUCAUCGUCAUCCUAAGGGUAGGAAACCCAUCCUGCAGUCRUCAAUGAAGACUAAAAAACAUCAUUGCAAUCGAGCGCGUAGGCAAUGAAAUACUCGUGUGUUGCUUCGUUAAAAAAAUAUAUAAAAAAGUCGGAAAGUAGAAUCAGUGUUAAUCGUCGUAUUUGACAGUUUCGUUUGCUCGGUUAUGAAACUCCGUAAGUUUCUUUCUUUAAACGUGUACCCAUCGUCAUCCUAAGGGUUGGAGACCCAUCGUGCAUUCAUCGAUGGAGAUUCCAAAUUGCAAAUGUGCGCGAAGCAAUAAUAUAUGGGAGUGUUGUUAUAUCGUUAAAAUUUAAUUAAAAUCACAGAUUAUAAAAGCAUGUUCGUUCGUUAAU